rnacentral:miRNA from 1 species
UUUGCGACCUAUUUCCAGGCUACU